UUAUCUUUCCAUUUCUAAAGUUAUGUGACAAAUAUGGAUCAAAACAUUCAUUUUCAAAAUGGGGUGGACUCAAUUAUGCUGAGCACUGUAUAAUCAAAAUCUUAAGACCAGGUGCAAAAGGACAAGUAUUCACAUUGAUAUAUAUACUUGUUCAAAAUAAAACAAUCAUUGUGUUUGGUGAAUAAAGCUCAUUAUGUUCCUGAGAUUAAAGCCUUUUCUGAUGCUGAUGCUGACUGCAGUCCAGUAACCAUAAGACAAGAUCUGUGAUCUUUAGACAUCACAUCUCCUCCCACAUCACAAACUUGCCCAUUUGGAAUUUACAAGUGGGCAUCAAACAUGGGAUGCUGAAAGGCAGAAGAAAGUUUUAUUCUCUGAUGAGAAAAAAAUGAACUUGGACGGCCCUGAUGGCUUAGAAAAAUUACUAGGCUCCAUCAUGACGUGGGAUGCAUCUUGCUUCAAUGGGAAAAUCAGCUUCAGGUUGUGCGGAGGUGACUGGCUAUGUGGAUUUGCAUGGGGCAUCUCUCGCGUCUGUGUAUUUUUAACAGAACAACUCUGCAGUUCACAAUGCCUGCCUGACGAAGGUUAUCAUCCAGGAGAAUAUGAUCUUAAUCCCACUAAAAAAAUUCAGGAAUGGAUUGAUGGCAAGGGAAGUUUGCAAAAAAUAUCUCAAUUCUAGACCGUGGUUGCCAUUUCUGAAGCCUUCAUCACAUUGAAUCAUCAAUAUUCCCACUGACCUCCUGUCACGUCCAGCAUGCUGAAACCAAUGUUUGGUGGUUUCAAGAAGGUCAGUGAAGCUACUCAUUAUUGAUUCUUUAUUUUGGACACUUGUGUUGGGUUGUUUCUUCUUUUGCCAGUUUGAAGCAGUACUUACAACCUGGAUACCAUCCUGGAUACCAUGCCAAUUUCUGACCUGGUCUGAAGAUUUGGAUCAGGAGUGUGUCUAUAUAUACACAAUCUUAUCUUCAUCUUCCUCAGUGCCAGGAUCCUCAUCAUCUCGGCCGGCUGUGGAUCUGCUCCAGAGUGGGCUGAUACGAAGCCGUGAGCGCAGGUUGAUGACGGACAUGCUCUUGCUGCGGCUGACCCGGACCUUCAGCGCUUUCUCCAUGGCGGCUCCCUCCUCCAUCUCAUCCAGGUGAGAUCUCACGGGAGGAUCUCUGUGGAACUGAUGCCAGCCAGCUGUAAUCCACACUGGACUUGCGCCUGCGGGUCUCCAUUGCCCUCUCCUGGUGGAGACGUUCGGUGCGCUUCACCAGAGAUCCC